CAGCAGCACUGUCUCCUAAGAUACAACAGGACAGGCUUUGAGGACAGAAACCCAGGGUCACGUUCCUGCUCCAUCACUUUCCAUCAGCAUGGUCUCGGGCAAGGGAAUCGUGGUCUCAAGAUGGCCAGGUUUUGGACUUACACCAUAGGCUCUACUGGUCCUUAGGCCUUUGGACUGAGGCUGGAACCACAUCCUCAGCUCUCCUGGAUCUCCAGCUUGGCAACUGCAGACCUUGGGACAUUUCAGAUUCCAU
rnacentral:lncRNA from 1 species